rnacentral:rRNA from 1 species
AGUGAACGCUGGCGGUAGGCCUAACACAUGCAAGUCGAACGGCAGCACAGUAAGAGCUUGCUCUUACGGGUGGCGAGUGGCGGACGGGUGAGGAAUACAUCGGAAUCUACUUUUUCGUGGGGGAUAACGUAGGGAAACUUACGCUAAUACCGCAUACGACCUACGGUUGAAAGCAGGGGAUCUUCGCACCUUGCGCGAUUGAAUUAGCCGAUGACGGAUUAGCUAGUUGGGGGGGUAAAGGCCCACCAAGGCGACGAUCCGUAGCUUGUCUGAGAGGAUGAUCAGCCACACUGGAACUGAGACACGGUCCAGACUCCUACGGGAGGCAGCAGUGGGGAAUAGUGGACAAUGGGCGCAAGCCUGAUCCAGCCAUACCGCGUGGGUGAAGAAGGCCUUCGGGUUGUAAAGCCCUUUUGUUGGGAAAGAAAGGCAGCAGGUUAAUACCCCGCUGUUCUGACGGUACCCAAAGAAUAAGCACCGGCUAACUUCGUG